rnacentral:lncRNA from 1 species
AGUUCCUGGGCCAGAGAUCAGAUCUGAGCUGCAAUUGCGACCUAUACUGCGGGUGCAGCGACGCUGGAUCCUUUAACCCACAAACCUGUGUCCUGGCGCUUCAGAGAUGCUGCCAAUCCUGUUAGGUCACAGUGGGAACUUCAAAAAGGAAUUUAAUAUCACUACAGUCAAUGGAAAUUCAUUUACUAUAGAAGGGUACAGUGGAACUAAUCUCAAAACAAGUUACCGGGUUUUAUCUAUUAAACAAACGUAAAGGCGCUGAGCCUGCACUCUUCUUAAACAGCCAGGCGUUAGAUGUUAGAUACUGAGUGUUUAGUUGUUAAGUCAAUUUUUUUCUGGACAUAAUUAGAAAGAUUAAAGGAAACUGAAAAGGGAAUCAUUUUCAUAGUUCAGUCUCUGCACUCUGUAAUUCGUACCCACCUGGGUUCUCAUUCCAGGUUUAGCUUCAAGUAUGUGAUCUUAUUGCAGAAACCCUGGCAGCGGAAGGAGACAAAGGGCACUUGGAGAUGCAGACAAAAGAAGGGUUUAUUCAGCCCCUGUGCAGGCUCAGAGGAGCUCAGGCUCCAGAGUCUGAGCACCAGGUCUUUGGUCUCAGCAGCUUUUAUACAAUACAGCGUCUUGUUCUUUCCAUGUAAGCAGCCAGGGACCUCCCCUUUCCCCUAGCAGACAGUGUUCCUGCCUAAGAAACUGAGCAAGCAAGGUUGCAGAAGCAAAACUGAUAAGCAAUGCUUGGAUCACUCACUAUUAGCAGGGCUGCUAGCUUGGACAUAGGGCAUGAAGUUGCUACAGAAUUACAAGAAGGAUGGUAUGAGGCCAGCAUAGGUGAAAAGGCAGGGGUGUGUGUGGGGGGUGUCCCUUACUUAAAACUCUUACUUCAAUCUUGGGCAAAACUCCUUAAUUCUCUGAGACUUUAAUUAUUCAUAUUUGAAAUUGGCAUUUUUAAGAAGUACCUAUGUCCUAUAAGUAUGAACUAAGUGGAAGUAUUCAAUGCCUAGCCCAAAGCAAGCAGCAAAAAGUGGCAGUUACUAUUCAUAAAGAGGAGUAAAGUACUGUCUCUACCCUCAAAAUCUGCUGGGCUCCUGGGAAAGUAUAGGACAUGUAGAUUGUUUUUAAUUUUUUUAUUGAAGUAUAGAUGUAGAACAUGUUUUAUUAAUAGCUAUAAAAGAACAGGUGGAAGGUGACUAGCUGAGCUGAAAAGAAUUAGGUAGAUCUUCCCCAGAGGGGUUAAUGGCUGAGAUGUACUUUGAAUAAAAACUGAGUUUUGCCUUCCCAAUUCCCAUCGUACAAAUACCCAGCCUGUGUGUCAGAUCAGGGCCAAGGCCCAUGAGGAGACUGGGCAGACCCCACAGUAGGCACUGAUUCCCCAACCCAGUUUGUUUCUCAUUGAUUUUUUUUUUUCUUUUUAGAGCCACACCUGUGUCAUAUGGAAGUUCCCAGGCUAGGGGUUGAUUCGGAGCUGUAGCUGAGGCCUACACCACAUCCAGAGCAAUGCCAGAUUCGAGCCGUGUCUACGACCUACACCACGGCUCAUGGUAACGCCAGAUCCUUAACCCAAUGAGUGAGGCCAGGGAUUGAACCCAUAUCCUCAUGGAUACUAGUCAGGUUUGAAACCCGCUGGGCCACAGCAGGAAAUCUGUUUCUCAUUGAUUUUAUACUCACUGCCUCCAAGCCCAGGACUCUUACAGGCCUACCACUUACUGAAAACCCACCUGAUGGCCCAAGCCAAGAAGGGACACAUAUUUAUGACCAUAGACCAGCACUAUACCUAACAGAGCCCACAGACCUAACAUUUAAAAGAAAUAUCAGGGGGAGUUCCCAUUGUGGCUCAGCAGAAACUAAUCUGAGUAGUAUCCAUGAGGAUGCGGGUUUGAUGCCUGGCCUCAAUCAGUGGGUUAAGGAUCUAGUGUUGCUAUUAGCUGUGGUGGAAGUCUAAGGUGCAGCUCAGAUCCUGAGUUGCUAUGGCUGUGGUGUAGGCCAGCACCUACAGCUCCAAUUCGACCCUAGCCUGGGAACUUCCAUAUACCUCAAGUGCAGCUCUAAAAAACAAACAAACAAAAAGAAAAAGAAAAAAGAAGAAGAAGAAAGAAAAGAAAAGAAAAAAGAAAUAGCAGGCAGAAUGGAACAGUUAGGCUUUUUUGUUUGUUUUUGGCUACACCCCUGGGCAGCUGUUCUCAAUCAAAUCCACAAGUAAAGGAGUUUAGAAAUACAAUUCUUGGAGUUCCCACUGUGGCACAGUGGGUUAAGAAUCCAACUGCAACAGCUCAGGUUGCUGUGGAGGUGUGGGUUCCGAUCCCCAGCCUGGUGCAGUGGGUUAAAGUAUCUGGGGCUGCCACAGGUGUGGCAGAGGUUGCAGCAGCAGCUCAAAAUCAAUCUCUGGUUUGGAAACAUCCACAUGUUGCAGGUGUAGCCAUAAAAUUUAAAAAAAAUUUGGAGGAGUUCCCAUCAUGGCGUAGCAGAAACAAUCCAACUAGGAACCAUGAGGAUGGGGAUUCAAUCCCUGGCCUCACUCAGUGGGUUAAGGAUCCGGUGUUGCCGUGAGCUGUGGUGUAGGUCACAGACACAGCUCAGAUCCCAAGUUGCUGUGGCUGUGGUGUAGGCCGGCGGCUACGGCACUGAAUCAACGCCUAGCCUAGGAAACUCUAUGCCACCAGUACAGCCCUAAAAUAUAUAUAUAUAUUUUUUUUAAAUUAUGAUUUUCACUCAUCUGAGCAACCUCAUUUUCAGUUUCUUAGAUUGCCUCAUAUGAAAGGCUGAAGCAAACUCUUCUCCACUAUCUUGGAGAAUGGCAAUGCCAUUAAAAUGAAGGAAAGCUUGCAGUUCCCUGAUGGCUCAGUGGGUUAAGGAUCCAGUGUUGUCACUGCUGUGGCUCAAGUUCGGUCCCUGGCCCAGGAACAUCUUCAUGCCAUGGCAAAAAAAAGAAAGUUAAAAAAGUUAAAAAUGAAGGAAAGCUUAUUCAGGGAAAAUGAAAUAAAAGGGGGAAAGAGCUAUCAAAUUGUACAUGUAGCGUGAUGAUGUGUAAAAUGUGUCAUUAUUGCCCUACCCACCCGUUUUUGUUCCUUUUGGCAUUUUCUAGAAUGUAGUUUUAUUACCUUUAUAAUGAAAACAACUAAAUCAAUCCUCCCUCCAGAUUUUAUUGACAUAUAAUUGACUUAAAUCAAUUAUGAGCCAUGGAUAUCUGGUGAAGAAAAAAUAAUCAGACCUACUAUGUGCAGGGCACUAUGGUGAAAUUUCGAGAAGCUAUUUCUGGAAGAUCAAAACAAACAAAGCUUCAACACUCAUUUCUCCUUCAUUCUGUGAAUAUCUGAGCGCCAAUGAGGAGCCAGUACUGUGCCAAGUGUUGAGAAUAUUGCAGAUAAGUCAUGGUCCCUUCCUCCACAGCAUUUCAAUGAGGGUAAAUCAUCACAUGAAUAAAAACAAAGUUGCAGUUAUGACUAGUGCAACAAAGGAUAGACCUGCUGUGGUAGGUAAAGCUGAAGGUAGGUGGUACACAAGUCCGUGUAAUUAGAUUUUAAUGGCGUGAAAUAGACUCCACUUGGAGAAGCUCAGAAAUGAGUUCAGAAGGUUUCAUUCUAGUCAAAGAUGAACUUCAAGGAAAAAGAAUAAAUCUAUCAAAUGCUAGGCACUAUUCUAAGCAUGCCUCAUGCAUUAAAGCCUUGUCAGUAUCUCUCCAGCUAAGGAAGCUGAGGGGUUUAUAAGGGUAUGAAGGGUUGGUCAGAGGAGAGUGUGGCAUUGGAGGCUCAUCAUCUGGUGCCUUCGAGAAAAUGACAGUAUGAGUGAAUCUAAGGAGUCUGACACAUCAACAAAGAAACUGGCACCCUGAGUCCAGCUUAUCCUGCUCUGGGCUCUCCUUGACAGAGCGGUAAACAGAGAUGGCAGAUCCUGGCGGCCUGCAGCAGAAUUAAAUGACCAGCAGUGACACAGACUACCAGGUAAUAGAAACAUUUGUGGAAUAAAACUUGAGAAAGACAGGACUUCCUCUUAAUCAAAGCCAUCAAAAUGUUCUGGAUUCAUGCAAACAUACCCUCAUUUGUACUCCCAAGAUAGUGCUGUGAAACAUACCAGUUUAACGUGACAGAGAUGCCUACAUCCCUAAAAUAAAAGCUGACAUAAAUGCAGACCUUAACAUUGCUAUUAUAUCACUGCAAAUGCUUACAAAGUUACUUUCAGAAGGUAAACAUUUUUAGGAUAAUCAAAGUGAAAGUAAAGCUACAGGCUAUGUUGUCCUUACAGUACACUUUCCACUAGGCAAAACCAAAGUAGAGAAAUAGAAAAUGCACCCAAACAUUUUAAAACUGGUGAUUUUUUCCCCCUUCUAUUUUUCUGUCAAAAUUUCCUUUUGGAAUAUAUUUUACUUUAUAUUUUUACCAAUUAAAAAUACAAGUACAAAAAAGCAAAAACUGAUAAUCUCACCAUAUAAUUAACUAUACACUGUCAUAGCUACCUUUUAAAUUUAAGACAACAUAAAUGAGGCUAAAAUCCUCUUUUAUUAAUUACUAUUAUUAUUUUUGUCUUUUUAGGGUUGCACCCGGGGCAUAUGGAGGUUUUAAUUUGUCUUUUCCCAGUGACCAACAAUGAACAACUUUUCAUGAGCUUGUUUGUCAUCCUUUUGUCUUUGAAGUGUCAGUUCAAAUCUUACGUCCAUUUCUGUAUUAGCCUAUUUUCCUAUUGUUGAGUUUCAAGAGUUAUUUUAUCCAGGACAAUUUUUAUUCAUUAUGGUGCGAUGACUGAGAAUAACUUGGAUUCAGAAAAGCUAAGUAUAGUAUUUAACCUCCCUGAAACUCACUAGUCUAUCUAUGGUUCAAGUCAAAACAGCUAACCUGUGAACAUCUUAGUUCUGUAUAAAAGGAUAAACCAUUGUGUUCUUUUAAAAAACUGAACAAUAAACACAAAUUAAAAUGUAAAAUAUGGAGUUCCCGUCGUGGUGCAGUGGUUAACGAAUCCGACUAAGAACCAUGAGGUUGCGGGUUCGGUCCCUGCCCUUGCUCAGUGGGUUAAAGGAUCUGGCGUUGCCCUGAGCUGUGGUGUAGGUUGCAGACGCGGCUCG